rnacentral:lncRNA from 1 species
ACAGAUGCAAAGUCAGCUAAUGCAGACUCUACCACAAACAGUGGUGCAGAGGCAACCUCCAAAUACCAGCAGCACUUUUCAACAGCCUAUAGCUUGAUCUUUCACAAAGGAACAAUAUGAGCAAAUACUGCACAUGCUAAACAAAAGUUCAGGAACAUGCUAAACAAAGUUCAGGAACAUAUGCUUCUGCAGUAUGAACAACUAGUGCAACAAGUAUCAGUAAUGCCUUUCUAGUAGAUACUGCCAAUAAACAUUCCCAAGUAUGGAUAAUUGACACAGGAGCUACUAAUCAUAUGGUUUUUGAUCUUAGGGUAUUAUCCACUGUUGAAGAAG